CGUUGAUUCCCACUGCUCAUGACUUUUCAUGAAAAAAUUAUAUGGAUCUGAUUGGCAUGUAAAGAUACCCACACAGGUAUCUCGGUAUGAUUUGAAAAUGUGUUGACGACUCCUUAACCAAACGUAGCAGACGAAAGCCAAUCAAUGGCUACCAGGGGCGGAGAGUGGCUUGUCUGUCAGGUCGGCGCUAUAAUGAAUUGAAUAGGGAGGGAGGGGGAGAAUCCAAUCCGGUUUGAGCUAGUUUUUGUUCCAAUCGAACAUUAACGUCUUGCUAGGCUGUAAUAGAACGUACUGUUUGAAUCUUAUACCGAACAUACUGUAUUUUCUUUCUCGGUUUUGGAAGAUUUCCCUGUUUUUUUCUUUACACGAAACAGCCAUGCCUAAAAGGAGCAAAGCAAAUGCUGAUUCUGAGGCAGCAGAGCCCAAGAGAAGAUCUGAGCGAUUGGUUAACAAACCGGCUACUCCAAAGGCAGAGCCCAAGCCAAAGACGCUUAUGUUAAACACAUCUUUACAGAAGGAGAAGGCAGCACCUAAGCCCAAGAAGGCUAAAGAGGUGAAGAAGACUGAGCCUGAGGAGAAGGAGGAGGUGCCCGCAGAGAAUGGGGAAGCCAAAGCUGAGGAUGAGGUGCAUUUCAAAUCAAAAGUGUAUAUGGCUGACUGUUAAACAUAUAAUAUAUUCAUUAACUCUUGUGACAUAUGUUUCAGGCACCAGCCACAGAUGAACCUGAACAGAAAGAUGAUGAAGAGGAGGCAGCAGAAUAACAUCUCUCAAACCACAUCUUUUAUCAGUGCUCCCUGUACCUCUUUUUCUUGUACAAUUCAGGGGAAUAUUUUUAUCGACUUUUCUAAAUGCAGGUUUUUUAGUAGUUUGAUUGUAGAAACAUUUUUUUAUGAAACAAAAUAAAUUUGGAGACAGGGAUUUCAAUGCAUCCCGCAUUUUUACAUCUCCGGAACAAUUAUGGUCAUUGUAAAUUGUCAAAUGUUUUUAUUUUCAAUGUAGGGGAAAGAAGGGGUGGGACAGGUUGCUGUAUCAAGAACAUGCAAUCACGUCGUUUACAGGAUCCGGUUGAAACAACAGAGCUUGCCUAAAAAGAGACUAACAUUCCAUAGGCUAUAUGAGGGACGGUAUAUGUAACCUGCAUUGUGUGGUGGGGAGGGGAUGAAUAACUGAACACAUUGUUGUAUUGUUUAUAAUGAGGAAAUGCGUUUUAGAAUGUUUGUAAGCUGUGUUCCACAUGUUAACUCUUGUACUCAUGGCAACUUUUUUUUGCUUUUUUUUUUUUUUUUUCGAACCAUUCUGCUUAAUAAACCUUUUCUCUAGUACUGGAGUUUCUCCCUAUCAGGCCUGUGCAUUGCGCGUAAUUGGUUUUGUCUUUGUUUUGUGAUAGCAUUGCAAUACAUUUGUAUAGAUGCUGUUAAAAAGGGUUUUCAAACAUUAUAUGCAGUGUGUACACUGUGAGGAUGGUAAAAAUGGAAUUCUGUGUUUUUAGCAAAGCUAAUGACAUGCAUAACAGUGUGAUACAAACAGUGGAUUAUAGUUCCUUGAAUGCAGAGACUGUGCGUCCACUGGAGCUGUCAAAUACACACACCAGCAGUAGCAAUAUUCAUAUGCGUUUUAGGUAUCAAGUUCAAGUGUACAGUUUCUUUUAUUUGUUUAUAGAUGUAUCUGUGUAAUGAUUGGUAUAAACCAAUAAAAUGUGGUUAUAAUUGUUGUCUAAUUGUGUUAUGAAAAUAAUGUGUGAAUCCAAACCCUCUAGUUAGAAGUAGAUAGAAUUUUAGAAGCUACUUGAUUGGAAAGUUAAAAAAUACACAGCAGUAACAAAGAACAUUGCAAUUGUGACUGGGAUGUCAACUGUUGUUCAAAGAAACAAACUAGAUAAUCCUAUAUAAUGGAAUUAAAUGAGGGAGAAAAAUUGAUGUCUCCUCUGUACUUUGAAUUCAAGCUAUAUAUUGUACAGUGUGAGCUAAGAAUAUAGAAUUAUAGAAUCUGAGUAGCAAGGUGAUAAGUCAAUUCCUCCUUACUAUCUGGAUAAUAAGGAAAAGUUGAAUGUGUGAUUACAGAUAUUGUGUUACAGACCUAAUUGCCUCUUCCCCUGAAAACCAUAAUGUACACUUGUCAAGGAAAGGGCUGAUGGCAACAACUACAAUUUGUCCUUUGAAAAAACUGGUUUCACUUUACGGACCAAUGGAAUGGUUUAAAGUCUGCCUAAUUGGGACAUGCAAACUACUCACUACUUUAGUUAUUCCAACGAGUAUUCACUCGCAUUGGAUUUCCCACUGAUCAAC
ensembl:lncRNA